rnacentral:lncRNA from 1 species
CUGGGAGCCUGGGCAGGGAGCUAAGUUUGGCCCGAGAACCACAGAGGCAGGCACAUAAUGCGAAGCGUUGAGGUUUAUUUGAGCCUCUGCGCCCUUUGCCUGUUUAAGGAAGCGCUAUCAGGUAACAGUGAGUUAGAACAGGCAAGUCCCUGCUCAAGGGCUCUUAGAGUCCACCUGCUCAGACCGUUUGCCGCCGCUGAAGCCUCUCCAGUGGUGGUCACUCUUUAUCACAGGAAGGGAUGCUUGCGAUUGCACUGAGUCCAGCCAGAAACUCCGCACACCCAAGAGGUCCCCGUGGCCACCACAGAAGGCAAUUCCUCUCAGGUUCCUCUUUACACCGGGGCUGCUCUUCUGCCUGUUGAACCCGAGCAGGACCCUGCGGCCCUUCCCCUCCCCCCACAUCCUCUGCCUGCCUUUUCUCCAUAGAAAAACUGUAGUCAAAGAAGUUGAAUCAGAAAAGUGAGCAAAUGCAGAUGCAAAGGAAAAGAGUCAAAUAAGAUCAAAUAAUAAUAGUUGUGUCAUUAAGCAAAGUCAAAGGACUUCAGUUCCUCCUGAAGGGCUAUAAUAAUAUUCUGGGCCAGGUCCUGUGAGCUGUCUUCUAGAUACUGAAGCCCCCACCGGGUGGAAGACGUUACGUACACGAUGACCAGCCGCCACAAUUCCAAGAACUGGCCUCAAAGAGAUGGGAACAAACCGACCCUGGAACUGAAGAUGAACUGUGCUUAAAGUAACCAAGAUGCCGCUGAUCAGACCACCACGCGGCCAAUUUCAAGAGGACGGUCCGCGCUGACUGCACUGUCUCUGCAUGCAGUCCCCUCCCUCUCCCUCUAAAAGCUCUUUCCCCACCCGCGAUUGACAGUGGGGGGAGUGGGCCUUUGGACAGGAACCUGGCCCCCCCGCCACGUCUGGGGGCUGGCAUCCAAAAUAAAGCAAACUUUCAUUGCCACCAAACUUGCCUAUUGGCUUGAGCAUGGCGAGUAGCCGGACCCCACCCUAUCACAGGAGGCAUCUGUCAGCAGGUAAGGACUGGAUUCACCCUUUUAUGCAACCAAAGGAGUUUGGGGGAGAAUGAGAACCCAAGAGAGGUGAG